rnacentral:rRNA from 1 species
AUGAGUGGUUCAAAUGAUAUACUGAAGGAUCCACUAGGUUUCUUGAUGUUGCAGAUCAUAAGGAUGUGGAUGAUGAUGAAGUGGAUGACGAGGAUAGUGGUGAUGAUGUUGUCCCCUUCCUCGUUUGUGCUGGAGGCUGAGAGGGUACAAUCGGCCCCGUCGUCCCGGCCCGCAGCACAACAGGCCAGCAGGACCGACUCCUCUGCUCCAGCCGAGCGCCUGCUCUGUCCUCUCUCCCGCACCAGCCGCCCCCCGCCGGACCCGGACGCCCCGCCGUAGCCCGGCACGCCGCACCCUUCCCCGCCCUCCAACUCAAGCCGCCUUGCCUGCAAGUGGCUGCGCGCCUGCGCCCUGCGCCGGCGGCCAGCCACAUCAGUCUCCCCGGCGGCCGGCGGUGUGCAGGCGUGCACCCUGGGCCCUGGGGCCUGGAGACGUGCAACAUAACAGGCUAGCAGCUGGGAGCUGAGCAGCAGCCUGCAGCCACUUUUUUGCAGAGUCGAUUUGCGGUUUGUCCAGAGCCGAAG